rnacentral:lncRNA from 1 species
GUGAGUGUGAGCAGCGGCCCAGCUCACCUGCUUUCCACUCUCAACGCUGCAUUAAGAACAGGGGCCUCUGCUCUCCUGUAACUCAAAUAAAACACAGCCCAUCUGCUUCCACUGCAAGGCACACCUCAAGCUGGAGCCAUAUUCCUGAGAACUGCCAUCAGACUCGAAAACUUUGAGACACACUGAAGCUCUUAAUGCAAACUCUUCUUAAGGGAUGGGGUCUUCCUCUUCUGCCCUGCUCAGAAAACUGAGGCUCAGGAUGCAUGCACGACUAGGGCUCUCCCCGGUCAAGACUUAAGGGUGGCCAUCAGCCUCUGUGGCGGAGGAGCUGUGGCUGCUGCUCUGCUUGGGUUGGGGAUGAUGGCCCGAUCUGCUGACUUUCAGAAGGGCCCUAUUUUCAGACUGACUUGUUCAAAGGGGUAGCAUCUACACUGGCAAGGCAAUUUUAACCCAAGCAUGGAGACCAUCUGGAAGACUUGGAUCCCUGAAGACAACAUUUUUUCCUCCUCUGCAGGGAGCUUUAGCUUGAAACAUCUGUGU